rnacentral:lncRNA from 1 species
GAAACUCGAAUAACUUAUUCAUUCUGGCGGUGAAAAGUUGUUGAAAAUUCAUUCUGGCGAUUAUUUCCAUUUCGUGUAAUUCAUUCGUUUCUCUUCCAUUUUCAUCCUGCAAUUUACGAAUCAAGUUCCUCUGUCUCUUCUGUGUUGCUUGUUUGUGAAAGAACGCUUUGUUUUUAUCCCCUAAUUUUAGCCAGUUAACCCUUGCUCUUUGUUCCCAAUACCGUUCAUCUUUUUCUAUCUCCAAAUUCAAUUGGGUAUCGAUCAAAUCUGCCAAAUUUUCGUCAUCUCUUUCGUCUUCAAGUAAUAUGGCCAAUUUUGAGUGUAACGACUUUUUCCUUCCCUCUCUUGAACUUCGAAUCUGUCUAGACCAGCGGUCCAACCCCCUUUUCAUACUGUUUAGCUUGCAUAAGAAAUCACCCCCAGAUUGUUCCCAAAUGAUUUUGACCUCAUCAAAAAACGAAUCCUCUAAUACCCACCAUGCUUCAAACUUGAAUUUUUUUUGUGUUCUCUCUCUGUUUUCCUUUUUGGUGUUAACCAAUAAAAGAAUGAUCAGAAAACAUAUGUGAGAGAUGCUGAAUCUAGAAUUCAGGAAAAAUUUGUAACCAUUCUUCUGUCGUCACCGCUCUAUCUAACCGUUCUUGAAUAUUAGUUUCAGGUAAAUUCCCCCAUUCCCAUGUGAACCAGUUUCCAUAAAACCCAAUAUCAGAUAAAUUACAUUCCUCCAAUGUCUUUCGAAAAGCUUCCAUUCUUCCUUCUCGUGGUAUACCUCUUUUUUUUUCAAAGCUGUACAGAAUUUAAUUGAAAUCACCACAUACCAUCCACGGCAGCUCCCGGAGUGCAUUAACUGAUAAGGUCCUGUCAAAGUUCAACUUUCUUACCUCAGAGCAAUGUUUACCACCAUCUUUAGUUGACUUCAGUUUUAGGUGUGUUUUUGCAAGUUUAUUCAUCAUAUUUAGUUUUCAUCUUCCUGCUUUACCAUUCACAUACCGAUGCUUCUGUCAUUUUUGGUGAAGCUUUAUAAAUACUUUCUAUCCAUUUCGAUGGUGAAAUUUACAUUCUUUGGUGCUGAUGCAGGCCCAUGCAUGAAGUUACAUUUUCAACAGAAGACAAACCAAAACUUCUUAGUCAGGUAUAUGAUAGGGAGCAGUACUCGAAGUACUUGUUCUUCAUAAGCUUAUUUCUUAAACAAGAUAACUUAUAUUGUGUAGUAAUUAAUUGUGAGGUAGCUUUAUAGGUAUCUGAGUCUUUUUAUACUAACUAUUUAUUGCAAUUGGUUCCAAAUAUUUGGUGAAUUCAAUUAUUAAUUUGCACUGCUAGUUUCGUGGUGUCAUAUGCCUUUUGUGUUAGAAUUUGAAUUGUUCCCCCUAAACAAUUUUCUCUAUGUAGAGGUUUGAUUGUGGCAUGUUUAUGUAUUCUAUAUAUCAACUUCUAUAGCAGAGGCUUAAGUCUUUGUUUUGAGCAGGUAAGUCCAUGGAACUAUUUUUUAUCCUUGUUGUUCAUGUUUUAUUUUGAUUUUUCUGUGAUUAAACUCUAGUACUCAGGGCAGUAGUUGUUGGGAUGUAAAAUCUGUUGUCUAUCUGCCUAAAUAUAUGACAAAAGGUAGAAGUACAUAUUGGAGAUACUCUCACAUGCACAUUCAUUUGUUUGAAACACGAUAUCUAGUUAUUUGUCUUUGAACUGAGUUGGAUUUUUGCAUGCUUAUGUAGGAACACAUGCCCUAUGCCCUAUUUUCAUUUAAGGACCGGACCGCCAAGGAAAUUCUGAAACUGAAAGCUGAUUGAUCGGAUGUGUAUGCCGGCUUUCAUCAACUACAUUCGAAGGCCUUAAUAGGAAUUGAAAUGGUGUGCAAAGAGAUUGCUUCUUCUGAUCUGAUUUUUCGAUAUAAAUAAUGGACAAAGUAUGGAUAUUUUACUGCUGAUAGUAAGAUAGGAUUUUCUUCUUAGGAUCUUAGUUUAUUCACUUGUAUUAGAUUCAACAAUGGCUUGCAUUGCAUUGGUGUUGAUUUUACCAAAUUUUCGAGGUUUACAAUUAACUAUUUUUAUUAAUUAUUUGCGUUUUCUCACUUUUAUUAAUUUUUAUUAUUAUUUA